rnacentral:misc_RNA from 1 species
ACUCCAGUUCACACAUAAAUAGACCUUAUAGUCUAGCAUUUUUAUCGACAUACAAAUAAAGUUUAUCAUAAAAAUGAAAAACACCAAAAUACAUGAGGUUUUUAUGUUGCGCUGCAGCAGUUGACACAAGUAGUAUAGUGGUUUCCCAAUGUGUGACAAAUGAUAAUUGCGUGGACCCAAAUGGGUUGCCUGUGUUUGACAAGAACUUUGCUAACCCACAUAUUCCACUUUUCAAACAUAGGCAACCUUGCACAAGUUUUAAGUUGUGUGAGGCAUUUUGAUUCGCACAAACUCGAUUUGUCAUAACAUAAAGAGACACACAUAACUUGUGUCAGUUGUGUGAGGUACAAAAGUAUUUUUUUUCUCGAUCUGCAUCAACUGGAUAUUCCAAAGUAGCCCAG